rnacentral:rRNA from 1 species
CCUACGGGUGGCAGCAGUGAGGAAUAUUGGUCAAUGGACGAGAGUCUGAACCAGCCAAGUAGCGUGAAGGAUGACUGCCCUAUGGGUUGUAAACUUCUUUUAUAUGGGAAUAAAAUGUUCCACGUGUGGGAUUUUGUAUGUACCAUAUGAAUAAGGAUCGGCUAACUCCGUUCCAGCAGCCGCGGUAAUACGGAGGAUCCGAGCGUUAUCCGGAUUUAUUGGGUUUAAAGGGAGCGUAGGUGGAUUGUUAAGUCAGUUGUGAAAGUUUGCGGCUCAACCGUAAAAUUGCAGUUGAAACUGGCAGUCUUGAGUACAGUAGAGGUGGGCGGAAUUCGUGGUGUAGCGGUGAAAUGCUUAGAUAGCACGAAGAACUCCGAUUGCGAAGGCAGUUCACUGGACUGCAACUGACACUGAGGCUCGAAAGUGUGGGUAUCAAACAGGAUUAGAUACCCCAGUAGUC